UAUCCCUAAUCUAGGAACCCAAGAACUCCUGACCUGAGGAUGUGCACACUUACCAUGAGUGACAUGGAGGGAAAAGAGCACCUCUCACCUCCCCUUUCUAGCAGACUAGCAUGGCAUUGUCUGAGCUCCAAAAGAACUCAGAGGCUCCACACAGCAAGAGGAGGACAGGCUGUGGAGGACAAUAACAUGGUUUUUCUGCCACCAUCCAACUACAGACAACCACCAAAUUAUCAACAAGAUCUGGGAAAUCAUCAGGAGCAUCCCCUUGUAAAAGCCUCCUGAUAACCCAGAACACCUGCCCAAGCAGGUAAAGAAAUAUCUCAGAGGAGCCAUGGGAAUGAAAUGUGCUUCCCUUCCUGAACUCAAGAGUGGAUACCUGAGAAGGGCAGUAUCCAUGGACCACCUGUUGCAGGCCUCCACUAACAUGAAGAAGGCGAACUUGAGGUCAUACCCUCAGCCCAUCUUUCACUGGUAUUAGACAGAGACAAUUUACAAAAAAAAUACUGAAGCACUUAAUUAGAAUAACAACAUAAUUUCUAUAAAUUGGCAUUCAGAAUAUUUUACCACUGGAGAGGAUAAAUCCGAAGCUCUAUGAGUUCUCAGGUUCUACCAGUUGUUAUUCUAAAGGUGACAGAUGUUUGCACUUCAUGUCUACACUCAGCAAAAUCCAGUUGAUGCUCAAAUACAAGAUGGAAAAACCAACUGGACCUAAACCUAGAAGACAUGGCAGAGGACAAGAGAGAUUAUUAUAGACUCUGAUCUUCUACCAGGACUGCACACCAAGUCCUAAAGAUCCACAAAGGGCUACAGGGAAUUAAUGGAGACUGGACACAUGGAACAGAACAGAAAGCUCAGAAACAGACCCAGUGCAAUCCUGCCAGCUGAUUUUCUCAUAGUCAACCAGGGAAAUCAAGGCAGAGAGAAGGACUUGUCCACAACGACUGAAGAAGAAGAUUUAAAAACAAACUAAGGAACCCAUGAAAAACUGAACACAGUCACCAUUUCAGUUGACCCCAAAUACAAACACUAUAAUGUUCACAU